CAGGGAGACGGAGAGGCCGCAGCCACUGAAGCCAACUGUGCUGGAGCAGGCGGAGGGCACUGGGGGUCCCUGGAGAGAAGUGCCGCCUCCUGCCGGGCCCCUGACCGAUACGCUGAUGGGCAAAAACGCUGACGAUGCAGGCCAGCUGAUAACCUGGAGGAGGCCGGCUGGAGUGGGGCCUGCCACAUGUGAGGGGUACCCUGGGUUGGUGGCAUGGGCAGUUCUUCUUGGGGGGGCAGCAUGUUGGGCACAGACACAGAGGAGGCCACAGGUUCUGUCCUUCCACUGCCUGGCCAGACCAGACCAAAGCUCACCUGGCCUUUAAGACUGGCACCUGCACCAGGAGCCACUACUGCUCCCUCCUACAGUGGCAAGCUGGGCUCUGCCCCACCGCAUCUGCAGCCCCAUCAGCCGGUCUCUCAAGGCUCAGCUUUGGGAUGCCAGUACAGACCAAAGACAGGAAAAAACCAGUGAACACAAGGGACAUCCUGGGAGCCAGAGGGUCCAGCAUGUAUAGCCAAGGAGUGACAGGGAGCCCUCAACAUAGCUGGAAGAUCGGCCAGGGGGAAGAUGGGCGAGGGCACCAUAGGUUAUCCACAUGCUGGCCAACAGACAUGUGGAGAUAGACAUUCAGCUUUGCCAGGAAUCAGCACAUGUACAGGCUCCUGGAGAAAACUGAGUACCCUGGGAACAGCCUGUGCUGGCCAGGUUAGGACUCAGGCACUUGCCCCACCAGCAGGGAAAACUCGCAUGCUUGU